rnacentral:rRNA from 1 species
UUUAACUGAAGAGUUUGAUCAUGGCUCAGAUUGAACGCUGGCGGCAGGCUUAACACAUGCAAGUCGAGCGGGGGAAGGUAGCUUGCUACUGGACCUAGCGGCGGACGGGUGAGUAAUGCUUAGGAAUCUGCCUAUUAGUGGGGGACAACAUCUCGAAAGGGAUGCUAAUACCGCAUACGUCCUA